GCGCCUGUAGCUCACUUGGAUAGAGCAGCUGCCUUCUAAGCAGCUGGUAGCAGGUUCGAUUCCUGCCAGGCGCG
rnacentral:tRNA from 1 species